rfam:Gossypium hirsutum cultivar TM-1 chromosome 10, whole genome shotgun sequence
UGUUAAAAUUUUUAUCUAUUUUUACUAUUAAAAAUUAGUGUAGUUGACAGAAUAACCAAACAGUUACACAAGGCGUGUAACAUGUACCUCAUGCUGACACAACGAACCAUUUUUAAUAGUAAAAAUAGAUGUAAUUUUUAACU